GACGAACGCUGGCGGCGUGCCUAAUACAUGCAAGUAGGACGCAGUUGCGAACGGGUGAGUAACGCGUCGGUAACUGCCUCUUAGAGGGGGAUAACUAUUGGAAACGAUAGCUAAUACCGCAUACUCGUAGAUGGACCUGCGUUGUAUUAGCGAGUAGGUAGGGUAAUGGCCUACCUAGGCGGCGUUACAUAGCCGACGUGAGAGGGGGAUCCGCCAAACUGGGAAUGAGAAACGGCCCAGAAUCCUACGGGAGGAAGCAGUAGGGAAUCUUCGGAAAUGGGGGGAACACUGACCGAGCAACGACGCGUGAGUGAAGAAGGUUUUCGGAUCGUAAAGCUCGGUUGUUAAGGAAGCGGUACUUAACCAGAAAGGGACGGCUAACUACGUGCCAGCCGCCGCGGUAAUAC
rnacentral:rRNA from 1 species